rnacentral:rRNA from 1 species
AGGUACUGUCAUUAUCAUCCCUAGCGAAAGUGCUUUACGACCCUAAGGCCUUCAUCACACACGCGGCAUGGCUAGAUCAGGCUUGCGCCCAUUGUCUAAGAUUCCC